AGUGAACGCUGGCGGUAGGCCUAACACAUGCAAGUCGAACGGCAGCACAGUAAGAGCUUGCUCUUACGGGUGGCGAGUGGCGGACGGGUGAGGAAUACAUCGGAAUCUACUUUUUCGUGGGGGAUAACGUAGGGAAACUUCCGCUAAUACCGCAUACGACCUACGGGUUAAAGCAGGGGAUCUUCGUACCUUGCGCGAUUGAAUGAGCCGAUGUCGGAUUAGCUAGUUGGCGGGGUAAAGGCCCACCAAGGCGACGAUCCGUAGCUGGUCUGAGAGGAUGAUCAGCCACACUGGAACUGAGACACGGUCCAGACUCCUACGGGAGGCAGCAGUGGGGAAUAUUGGACAAUGGGCGCAAGCCUGAGCCAGCAAUACCGCGUGGGUGAAGAAGGCCUUCGGGUUGUAAAGCCCUUUUGUUGGGAAAGAAAAGCAGCAGGUUAAUACCCCGCUGUUCUGACGGUACCCAAAGAAUAAGCACCGGCUAACUUCGUG
rnacentral:rRNA from 1 species